rnacentral:rRNA from 1 species
UACUAGAGUAGCACUCGCAUAUCAAUAAGCGGAGGAAAAGAAACUAACAAGGAUUCCCCUAGUAACGGCGAGUGAAGCGGGAAGAGCUCAAAUUUGAAAUCUUAAAGGGUUUCCCUUUACGAAUUGUAGUUUAAAGAAGUGUUUUCUGUUGAGGUUUUGGUAAAAGUUCUUUGGAAUAGGACAUCAUAGAGGGUGAGAAUCCCGUAUUUGACCUUUACUUUCAACUUUGCUGAUACACUUUCAAAGAGUCGGAUUGUUUGGGAAUGCAGUCCAAAAUGGGUGGUAAAUUUCAUCUAAAGCUAAAUAUUGGCGAGAGACCGAUAGCGAACAAGUACCGUGAGGGAAAGAUGAAAAGAACUUCGAAAAGAGAGUUAAACAGUACGUGAAAUUGUCAAAAGGGAAGCGUUUGACACCAGUGUUGUUUUUCUGAAAAUCAAUUAAAGAACUGUUUAUGCUAAGCUGUUUAGACUUUAUCAGCUAUCUGUUUAGUUUUGAGCUUUUCUUUAAUGCACUUUUCAGUUAACAAGUCAACAUCAAUUUCUUUUGCUGUAAAAAAGCUUGAGGAAGGUGGCUUGAGAUUCGUCUUAAGUGUUUAUAGCCUCUUGCCUAUGCAGUCGGAGAGAUUGAGGUCUGCAGCGUAGAUCCUUCGGGGCUAAAUGCUAUUCGUGCUAAGUUAUAGCAUUUUAUAGACAACUUGUUGACUAUGAUUUGUCUUGUAGCUUACUCGCUUAUGUUAUUUUACCUACGCUUAGGAUGUUGAGCGCAUGUCUCUCUCU